GAUGAACGCUAGCGGCAGGCUUAACACAUGCAAGUCGAGGGGCAGCAUAAUGGAUAGCAAUAUCUAUGGUGGCGACCGGCGCACGGGUGCGUAACGCGUAUGCAACCUACCUUUAACAGGGGGAUAACACUGAGAAAUUGGUACUAAUACCCCAUAAUAUCAUAGAAGGCAUCUUUUAUGGUUGAAAAUUCCGAUGGUUAGAGAUGGGCAUGCGUUGUAUUAGCUAGUUGGUGAGGUAACGGCUCACCAAGGCGACGAUACAUAGGGGGACUGAGAGGUUAACCCCCCACACUGGUACUGAGACACGGACCAGACUCCUACGGGAGGCAGCAGUGAGGAAUAUUGGUCAAUGGACGCAAGUCUGACCAGCCAUGCCGCGUGCAGGAUGACGGCUCUAUGAGUUGUAAACUGCUUUUGUCAGGGACGAAAAGGACCGUGUUAAUACCAUGUCUGCUGACGGUACC
rnacentral:rRNA from 1 species